UUAAGCGACUAAGCGUACACGGUGGAUGCCCUGGCAGUCAGAGGCGAUGAAGGACGUGCUAAUCUGCGAUAAGCGUCGGUAAGGUGAUAUGAACCGUUAUAACCGGCGAUUUCCGAAUGGGGAAACCCAGUGUGAUUCGUCACACUAUCAUUAACUGAAUCCAUAGGUUAAUGAGGCGAACCGGGGGAACUGAAACAUCUAAGUACCCCGAGGAAAAGAAAUCAACCGAGAUUCCCCCAGUAGCGGCGAGCGAACGGGGAGCAGCCCAGAGCCUGAAUCAGUGUGUGUGUUAGUGGAAGCGUCUGGAAAGGCGCGCGAUACAGGGUGACAGCCCCGUACACAAAAAUGCACAUACUGUGAGCUCGAUGAGUAGGGCGGGACACGUGGUAUCCUGUCUGAAUAUGGGGGGACCAUCCUCCAAGGCUAAAUACUCCUGACUGACCGAUAGUGAACCAGUACCGUGAGGGAAAGGCGAAAAGAACCCCGGCGAGGGGAGUGAAAAAGAACCUGAAACCGUGUACGUACAAGCAGUGGGAGCACGCUUCGGCGUGUGACUGCGUACCUUUUGUAUAAUGGGUCAGCGACUUAUAUUCUGUAGCAAGGUUAACCGAAUAGGGGAGCCGAAGGGAAACCGAGUCUUAACUGGGCGUUAAGUUGCAGGGUAUAGACCCGAAACCCGGUGAUCUAGCCAUGGGCAGGUUGAAGGUUGGGUAACACUAACUGGAGGACCGAACCGACUAAUGUUGAAAAAUUAGCGGAUGACUUGUGGCUGGGGGUGAAAGGCCAAUCAAACCGGGAGAUAGCUGGUUCUCCCCGAAAGCUAUUUAGGUAGCGCCUCGUGAAUUCAUCUCCGGGGGUAGAGCACUGUUUCGGCAAGGGGGUCAUCCCGACUUACCAACCCGAUGCAAACUGCGAAUACCGGAGAAUGUUAUCACGGGAGACACACGGCGGGUGCUAACGUCCGUCGUGAAGAGGGAAACAACCCAGACCGCCAGCUAAGGUCCCAAAGUCAUGGUUAAGUGGGAAACGAUGUGGGAAGGCCCAGACAGCCAGGAUGUUGGCUUAGAAGCAGCCAUCAUUUAAAGAAAGCGUAAUAGCUCACUGGUCGAGUCGGCCUGCGCGGAAGAUGUAACGGGGCUAAACCAUGCACCGAAGCUGCGGCAGCGACACUAUGUGUUGUUGGGUAGGGGAGCGUUCUGUAAGCCUGUGAAGGUGUACUGUGAGGUAUGCUGGAGGUAUCAGAAGUGCGAAUGCUGACAUAAGUAACGAUAAAGCGGGUGAAAAGCCCGCUCGCCGGAAGACCAAGGGUUCCUGUCCAACGUUAAUCGGGGCAGGGUGAGUCGACCCCUAAGGCGAGGCCGAAAGGCGUAGUCGAUGGGAAACAGGUUAAUAUUCCUGUACUUGGUGUUACUGCGAAGGGGGGACGGAGAAGGCUAUGUUGGCCGGGCGACGGUUGUCCCGGUUUAAGCGUGUAGGCUGGUUUUCCAGGCAAAUCCGGAAAAUCAAGGCUGAGGCGUGAUGACGAGGCACUACGGUGCUGAAGCAACAAAUGCCCUGCUUCCAGGAAAAGCCUCUAAGCAUCAGGUAACAUCAAAUCGUACCCCAAACCGACACAGGUGGUCAGGUAGAGAAUACCAAGGCGCUUGAGAGAACUCGGGUGAAGGAACUAGGCAAAAUGGUGCCGUAACUUCGGGAGAAGGCACGCUGAUAUGUAGGUGAAGCGACUUGCUCGUGGAGCUGAAAUCAGUCGAAGAUACCAGCUGGCUGCAACUGUUUAUUAAAAACACAGCACUGUGCAAACACGAAAGUGGACGUAUACGGUGUGACGCCUGCCCGGUGCCGGAAGGUUAAUUGAUGGGGUUAGCGGUAACGCGAAGCUCUUGAUCGAAGCCCCGGUAAACGGCGGCCGUAACUAUAACGGUCCUAAGGUAGCGAAAUUCCUUGUCGGGUAAGUUCCGACCUGCACGAAUGGCGUAAUGAUGGCCAGGCUGUCUCCACCCGAGACUCAGUGAAAUUGAACUCGCUGUGAAGAUGCAGUGUACCCGCGGCAAGACGGAAAGACCCCGUGAACCUUUACUAUAGCUUGACACUGAACAUUGAGCCUUGAUGUGUAGGAUAGGUGGGAGGCUUUGAAGUGUGGACGCCAGUCUGCAUGGAGCCGACCUUGAAAUACCACCCUUUAAUGUUUGAUGUUCUAACGUUGACCCGUGAUCCGGGUUGCGGACAGUGUCUGGUGGGUAGUUUGACUGGGGCGGUCUCCUCCUAAAGAGUAACGGAGGAGCACGAAGGUUGGCUAAUCCUGGUCGGACAUCAGGAGGUUAGUGCAAUGGCAUAAGCCAGCUUGACUGCGAGCGUGACGGCGCGAGCAGGUGCGAAAGCAGGUCAUAGUGAUCCGGUGGUUCUGAAUGGAAGGGCCAUCGCUCAACGGAUAAAAGGUACUCCGGGGAUAACAGGCUGAUACCGCCCAAGAGUUCAUAUCGACGGCGGUGUUUGGCACCUCGAUGUCGGCUCAUCACAUCCUGGGGCUGAAGUAGGUCCCAAGGGUAUGGCUGUUCGCCAUUUAAAGUGGUACGCGAGCUGGGUUUAGAACGUCGUGAGACAGUUCGGUCCCUAUCUGCCGUGGGCGCUGGAGAACUGAGGGGGGCUGCUCCUAGUACGAGAGGACCGGAGUGGACGCAUCACUGGUGUUCGGGUUGUCAUGCCAAUGGCACUGCCCGGUAGCUAAAUGCGGAAGAGAUAAGUGCUGAAAGCAUCUAAGCACGAAACUUGCCCCGAGAUGAGUUCUCCCUGACUCCUUGAGAGUCCUGAAGGAACGUUGAAGACGACGACGUUGAUAGGCCGGGUGUGUAAGCGCAGCGAUGCGUUGAGCUAACCGGUACUAAUGAACCGUGAGGCUUAACCU
rnacentral:rRNA from 1 species